rnacentral:lncRNA from 1 species
CUUCGCACUGUUCAAACUUCAAACAAUUAAUUAGACACCGAAGAACAGAGAAAAAAUGGAAAAGGCGCACCUGUUUCUGGCGAUUGAAGAAGGCUGCAGCGCUGGUGGAGUUCGACUGCUUGCUGUUUCAAACGAUGCUGAGGAGGGUUGCAACGCUGGUGUGGGUUCUACUGCUUUCUGUCAAAUGCCAAUGGUUCGGUGAUCGAUUGGGAUCCUGUUUCAGAAGGCGGUGAAGAAGGCUGCAGCGCUGGUGGAGUUCGACUGAGUUCUGUUGAUAAUCGAUGGUUAGGGGAUUAAUUGCUUUCUUGUAGGAACGAAAACAAGAUUGAUCCGUGACUCCCCUCCUCCUUUCUCUCUUUUUCUGCGUUGGUAUUUUUUGUUUGGUUUAUGCCCUUUUUUGUUACUCUGUUUUGGGUUGAUGUUUCUGUUCUUCUCUGUGUAUUUUUGGUUCUGUUUUUGGUUGCUCUGUUUUUCUGGGAUUGCCUUGCUUUCUCCCCCCUCGACUAGGUUUUCUGCUUCCUUUUAUAGACUCCCCAGCCCCUCUCUUUUAACUAGUCCUGUCUUUGCAGGACUCUUCUCUUCCCCGACGAGAUCGUGGGCGAUAGACAUGGUCCACGAUUGGAUCAACUUCGUUGCAGAUCUUCAGCCUGUUGAAUCGGGAUGCAGAAGACGAACACGGCUGUUUCACCAGCAACGGCGACGUUUCGGCAGCAAUGGAUUCCACCAGUAACGGCGACGUUUCAAGCAGCCAUGAACAUUUUCAAUUUGACCCCUGGACUUUGGAAAUUCGGCAAUUAGACCCCUAAACAAUUAAAAGUUUCUUUUAAUCUUGCCCUUUUGGAUUAAUUUCAAUUAAGUCUCUAAAUUAUAACACUAUUUACAAAACAGUCCUUAAUUUGUGGAUUGUCCAAUUUGAC